GAAAGGAAUAAGCUAAAAUACAGCAUUUCUCAUUGAUUAAAGCAUGUCAUGAGGUUUGUUAGGACAGAAUGCAUAUGCUGGCCGUCCAUACCUGUUCCUGAUGCAUAGGGUUCCAGACACAAUAGAACUGGCUGUGAAAACCUGAGAGAGAGACUUUAUUUGGAGAAAAUGUGGCAGUGUGACCAGAAAAAAGACUCUUUCAAGAUUCCUGC